AUUGAACGCUGGCGGCAGGCCUAACACAUGCAAGUCGAACGAGUGGCGGACGGGUGAGUAAUGUCUGGGCAACUGCCUGAUGGAGGGGGAUAACUACUGGACACUGUUGCUAAUAACGCAUACCAGCAGCUAUGCCCAAAUGGGAUUAGCUUGUUGGUGGGGUAACGGCCAACCAAGGCGACGAUCCGUAGCUGGUCUGAGAGGAUGACCAACCAAACUGGAACUGAGACACGGUCCAGACUCCUACGGGAGGCAGCAGUGGGGAAUAUUGGACAAUGGGCGAAAGCCUGAUGCAGCCAUGCCGCGUGUAUGAAGAAGGCCUUCGGGUUGUAAAGUACUUUCAGCGGGGAGGCGUUACCAGCAGAAGAAGCACCGGCUAACUCCGUGCCAGCAGCCGCGGUAAUUC
rnacentral:rRNA from 1 species